GAGGGUAUGGUGUUUAACGGUAGCAUGAAUGGCUUCCAACCAUUUGGUUUCGGUUCAAAUCCGAAUACCCUCUCCA
rnacentral:tRNA from 1 species